UCAGCCUGAGGCUGAGGCUGCCGUCUCCAGGGAAGUCCAGGCCGCUGCCUGUGUGAUGGACGUGUCCGCCCUGCCGUGCCAGGGUCUGGGUCCCGAGGCCUCACGGGUCUGCUCCCGCCGCAGCGCUGGGAGCCUGGGAGGCGGAGGCCAGAGAGGCGGCCCCUCUUGUGUCUCCCGAGAUGAGAAACAUGUUCACAAGGAAACGGUGUCUCUCGGCUGUGCUCUUGGUGCAAACGACGUGGGCUGGAAGGGCAGCCCAGACCCUCAGAGGGGUCCCUCGUGGGGAGGGCGGCAGUGCCGGGAGGUGGCCCUCGCCUGGGCUGGCCCACACCUCCCAGCCUGCAGGGCGCCCUCUGCGGUGGGUGGCUGAGGAGCCCCGGGAGGCGCAGGAACCGUGGGCCGGGCUGGGUGGUGGGCACCUGGGGCAGUCCUCCCAGGGCCCGCACCGGGCAUGGGUAUAGUGUUCGUUGUGUACAUAGCGCGGCCUGCCUGCCGGGCGGCCGGGUUAUUUAUGGCUGGCAGGAGGCCAGGGGGCGGGGACUCUGCUGCUCCCCCAUCCGCCUGGCACCAGGCUCGCUCCUUGCUCACUGGCCUCCUGACAUUUGCUCCUCUGAAAGCCUAUUUAAGAACUUUUGGAAGCUUAGCCAUUUUUAAUAUUAAAAUAAAAGCCUUUUUACACAUGU